AACGCGAAGAACCUUACCUGGGUUUGACAUGGAUUGGUAACGGUCAGAGAUGGCCGCCCCCCUUGUGGGCCGAUUCACAGGUGGUGCAUGGCUGUCGUCAGCUCGUGUCGUGAGAUGUUGGGUUAAGUCCCGCAACGAGCGCAACCCUCGUCCACUGUUGCCAGCAAUUCGGUUGGGGACUCAGUGGAGACCGCCGGGGUCAACUCGGAGGAAGGUGGGGAUGACGUCAAGUCAUCAUGCCCCUUAUGUCCAGGGCUUCACGCAUGCUACAAUGGCUGGUACAAAGAGUUGCGACACUGUGAGGUGGAGCGAAUCUCAAAAAGCCAGUCUCAGUUCGGAUUGGGGUCUGCAACUCGACCCCAUGAAGUCGGAGUCGCUAGUAAUCGCAGAUCAGCAACGCUGCGGUGAAUACGUUCCCGGGUCUUGUACACACCG
rnacentral:rRNA from 1 species